UGUACAUAAAAAUAAGAGACACCUUAAAAAUAACACACUUCAGUAAUUUUGUAUACUUUAUUUAAAUAGUAAUAUUUUU
rnacentral:miRNA from 1 species